rfam:Triticum aestivum genome assembly, contig: Triticum_aestivum_CS42_TGACv1_scaffold_273689_3DS
UAAAUAUUCACUCCGUCCCAAAAUUCUUGUCUUAAAUUUUUCUAGAUACGAAUGUAUCUAAUCACGUUUUAAUGUUAGAUACCUCCGUAUCUAGACAAAACUAAAAUAAGAAUCUUCGGACGAGGUAAUACUUC